CUGUUUACCAUGAACUUGAUUGCGUCCCUGUCAACCCACAAACGAAUUUGGACGCAACACGGGUGCACCUCUAACCGGAUAUGGGAACGAUCUCGAAGCAUUAAGUUCGUGCGUGUUACGGGUUCACAAUAACUUUACUGGUGAUCCAUUUCAAAGAUUGGCUUCAGGAUAACAAAGACUGACUUUGUGUGCUGGCGAUUAGGUGCCUGAGGGUUUGGGUUCGAAUCCCUGAUGGCACUCAACCCAACAAUAGUACAAGAAUCUGUACUUUACUAAGAUUGUGUAAUCAUCGACAUAUGUUACAGGAUAACAAAGAGAUGUAAAAUAACAAAACUGUAUUGUAAGCAAUGUGAGCAAGCAAUGCGCCACUAGCGCCCUGGGGGAAGUCCCAAUCUGUAUGUUGAGGUAUAUGAAAAUGCGAGUAUCAAAGCCCUCAAAACUUGUUUCGCAGUUUACCAGGUGAAUGUCGGACUGAAUGGGACAUACAUCCCUAAUGGAAUAUUACCUCCUACACCCUACCUAUAAUCUACUGAAUGUUGCGAGUCACGUGGCCAAGCCCCCAUGAAAACUACUGCAAUAGAUCUAGAACUCAUAUUUAUAUUAAGAUCAUGUGAUGUCUCUUGAGAAAUAUCUCUACAAUACAAUUGGAUAAUA